GGCUUAGAGUUUGAUCCUGGCUCAGGACGAACGCUGGCGGCGUGCCUAAUACAUGCAAGUCGAACGGUCUUUUCUAUGGAAGCUUGCUUCCACUGAGAAGAUAGUGGCGAACGGGUGAGUAACACGUGGGUAACCUGCCCAUAAGAGGGGGAUAACAUCCGGAAACGGGUGCUAAUACCGCAUAGUUUUCUUGAUCGCAUGAUCGAGAAAGGAAAGACGGCCUUUGUGCUGUCGCUUAUGGAUGGACCCGCGGCGUAUUAGUUAGUUGGUGAGGUAAUGGCUCACCAAGACGAUGAUACGUAGCCGACCUGAGAGGGUGAUCGGCCACAUUGGGACUGAGACACGGCCCAAACUCCUACGGGAGGCAGCAGUAGGGAAUCUUCCGCAAUGGACGAAAGUCUGACGGAGCAACGCCGCGUGAGUGAAGAAGGUUUUCGGAUCGUAAAACUCUGUUGUCAGAGAAGAACAAGUCGGAGAGUAACUGCUCCSGGCCUUGACGGUAUCUGACCAGAAAGCCACGGCUAACUACGUGCCAGCAGCCGCGGUAAUACGUAGGUGGCAAGCGUUGUCCGGAUUUAUGGGGSKWAAGSGRGSSMRGGCGGUUCCUUAAKYCUG
rnacentral:rRNA from 1 species